AUCCGACUGACCAGUCCCAUAUAGGACGAAACGUGCUUCCUGCAA
rfam:Schistosoma mansoni strain Puerto Rico chromosome W, complete genome